GAUGAACGCUGGCGGCGUGCCUAAUACAUGCAAGUCGAGCGAAUGGAUUAAGAGCUUGCUCUUAUGAAGUUAGCGGCGGACGGGUGAGUAACACGUGGGUAACCUGCCCAUAAGACUGGGAUAACUCCGGGAAACCGGGGCUAAUACCGGAUAACAUUUUGAACCGCAUGGUUCGAAAUUGAAAGGCGGCUUCGGCUGUCACUUAUGGAUGGACCCGCGUCGCAUUAGCUAGUUGGUGAGGUAACGGCUCACCAAGGCAACGAUGCGUAGCCGAGCUGAGAGGGUGAUCGGCCACACUGGGACUGAGACACGGACCAGACUCCGACGGGAGGCAGCAGUAGGGAAUCUUCCGAAAGGGACGAAGGUCUGACGGAGCAACGCCGCGUGAGUGAGGAAGGCUUUCGGGUCGUAAAACUCUGUUGUUAGGGAAGAACAAGUGCUAGUUGAAUAAGCUGGCACCUUGACGGUACCUAACCAGAAAGCCACGGCUAACUACGUGCCAGCCGCCGCGGUAA
rnacentral:rRNA from 1 species